GCCAGGCAUGGUGGCUCAUGCCUGUAAUCCCAGCACUUGGGAGGCCGAGGCAGGUGGAUCACCUGAGGUCAGGAGUUUGAGACCAGCUUGGCCAACAUGGUGAAACCCUGUCUCUA
rnacentral:SRP_RNA from 1 species